UACGUAGGGUGCAAGCGUUGUCCGGAAUUAUUGGGCGUAAAGGGCUCGUAGGCGGUCUGUCACGUCGGGAGUGAAAACUCAGGGCUUAACCCUGAGCCUGCUUCCGAUACGGGCAGACUAGAGGUAUGCAGGGGAGAACGGAAUUCCUGGUGUAGCGGUGAAAUGCGCAGAUAUCAGGAGGAACACCGGUGGCGAAGGCGGUUCUCUGGGCCUUACCUGACGCUGAGGAGCGAAAGCGUGGGGAGCAAACAGG
rnacentral:rRNA from 1 species